rnacentral:lncRNA from 10 species
CUGAGAUCACACCACUUCACUCCAGUAUGGGCAAUAAAGCAAGACUCCCUCUCAAAAAAAUAAAAUAAAAUAAAAUAACUUCAAUAAUGGAAGUGUAAAAACAAAUGCUGGAGACAGUAAUGAUAAAAUCUUUUGUUAUAUGAGAAUGGUGGCAGAAUAUGCCACCCAUAAAUAUGCUACUUUGCCGUAAUAAUUAUUUUGAGCUAAAGACAUUUGAAAAAUAGUAUAUACUGACAUUCUGCCCUUUAUGUCCCAGGAGAAAAGAAACACUCUUAUCACCAAAGAAAGGAGAAAGCUACCAUGUGAAAGAUGGUCUAUUGUUCUAGGAGGUACCUCUCUGUACUGUCUUGUCACCAGAGAUGGGAGAUUGAGGCUGAGAAAAAUUUAUACAAACAAACCUUGUUAAAAUAACUCUUACCUUUCUUCAGCUUCCUCAUUCAUUUCAGUUACUUUUUAACAAUUGGUACUGUUUGUUCAACCUAGCAUAGAAGCAUUUAGUUUUUGCUGUUUCUUCGGGUCUUUACUUUUCUGUGGGGAUUCCCAGCUACAGGUAAACAUCUAUGUGCUUUUCUCUAGGUAAUCUAUUUUAGUUAGUUUAAUUUUCAGGCCCAGACAGAGACCCUAAGAGGGUAGACAUAAAGUUUUGUCUCUUUGCCAUAUGCAUAGUGAAAACUGAAGUAAAAGUGAAAACAAAUCAUUAUCUAUAUUAUAUAUUAGCUAUGUUACAUAGCUAAUAGAUAUAUUUAGAGGUGUGAAAGCAUAGCAAGUUUGGAGAAAUAGAUUGCAUUGACAUACAGUCUUGAGUCUUCCCAUCGUAUAAGAUAUUCUGUUUUUCUCUUUUCUAUUUUCUUUUUCUUUCUUUCUUUCUUUUUCUUCUUUUUCAGGGUCUUAUUCUGCUGCCCAGGCUGGAGUGCAGUGGCAUAAUCAUGGCUCAUUGUAGCCUUGAACUUCCUGGCUCAAGUGAUCCUCCCACCUCAGCCUCCUGAGUAGCUGAGGCUACAGGCAUGCACCACCACACCUGGCUAAAUUUUUAGAUUUUUUUUUUGUAGAGUUGGUGUCUCUCUGUUUUUCCCUGGCUGGUCUUGAACUCCUGGGCUCAAGUGAUCCUCCUGCCUUGGCAUCCCAAAGUGCUGGGAUUACAGGCAUGAGCCACUGUGUCUGACCAAGAUAUACUGUUAUGUAGCAUUGUUUAUUAAAUAUGCUAGCACUCAUUUGCUUUUAGGUUAGAAAACAAACAACCAAAAAGCCUUAGUUUAAAAGAAAAUCUAUGUUAUGUUAUGGCAUGUAUGGCUACAAAACACAUUGAAAUUUUGUGCCAGAAUAUUUUUGUUCAUAGUCGUAGAUAGAUUAAGAAAAUGGGAGAUGUGUCUUAGUAAUUUUAAUGUAGAUUAUUGCAAAAAUAAAUGGCGAUUUACAUAGUGAAAUAAUAGCAGUGUUUGUUUGUGUAUGUGUUUGGUAAAUAGGAUGUGGAAACUACACAAAUGUAAAAGGUUAAUAUUUCAAACAACAGUGUAUAAAUUUGAUAUUCCAUGAAGAAUUGUUUCUUUAAAAGUGAAGUUGUAUUUCAAUACAUGAACAUUUUUUAAAAAUGAGUUUAUGUAAACACCCAAGUAGCUCAUCUUCUGAGGAAAUGUUACUAAGGCAAAUUUCUCAAUUUUUAAGUUUCCAGUAUUAAAAACAUAGUAAGUAUGGUGGUAGUUAUAGUUCUGUUUUUACUGUUGUAAAUGCAGUGUAACUUGGAGUACCUCUGGUUAAAUGACAAAGUUAAAAUGAUAUUCAAUAUUUCCUGUGGAUUCAUGUUAAUUUGUGGUUUUAAUUUGUUGCCAUUCACAGCAGAACAAUUUCCUCACCAGGUUUCCUCAUUGAAAAUAAUACUCAAUUUUCCAGAGCUCCUACCACACAAUCUUUAGAAGUAGAGAAGUAAAAUUGAUUUUCAAUAAAAAGGCUGAUUACAUCCUUGUACAAUGUCCAUUAUCUCUAAAAAAAAAAAAACCUGUAGUUUAUGAUACUAUGGAUUCAAAUGACCUCAUCACUCUUAGUUGUAAUUAUCUACCAUGAAAUAUCUAGAUAUUUUCCUCAUUACCAAGAGAAGAGAGAGCUCAUUUAAUAUUUGCUUUCUUGGCCACGGGUUAGUUCCUAGAAACUAACUUUGUUAAAUAAACGAAAUGAAGAACAAAACAAGUAUGUAUAAAGAAAAACUUUUCAAAACGAUGGAGCCAAAGAUGUUGCCUUUCCUCACUCCUAGGAUCUGUCCAAAAUGAAUAAGACAUAAGGAACUGGGGGAAUAAAAUAGCCACCAGCAAUGAAAUAGAGAACAGUAGCAACUAUUUCCUGUUAAACUUCAAGACAUUUUUUUCCAGAUAGUCAUACCAAGUUCAACAUGACUCUUGGAACUGAUACUCAACUUCUCUUCAAGAUAUCAGAGCACUGUUGUGAGAAAUUAGCUCGGGAAAUUCCCUCAAAUCUCAAUAAAUUCCCUGAUUAGGAGAACUCAUAAAAAAGAUGGAAGCUCCUUCUUCUACUCUAGAUAAAUAGCAUCUCAUGUCUAGUGCUAGAGUUGGAAGACAGAGGAUCUGACCAUGUCUCAUUGUUUCCCUGAGGUUGUUAAUUUUUUGAUCUACUCCUCUUGUGGAAGGAAAACAAAUAUACAAACAAAUAAUACUUUUUGCCAUACAUUGCCUUCACACAUUGCUGUAUAUCAGUUUCCUUAGAUUUAUUGUCAAUCUUAAUGGUAACGAUGAAGAAAAAAGAGGCAAACUGGAAUAAAAUCACAUAUGUGUAUCUGUGCCAGCCACAUUAUCUCCAGAGCCCUCAAAGUUAACUACCUUUGUAGAAAAUGAUGCAUAACAACAAUGGGCCAUUGACAUCACUUCACAGCUGCUGUUAGAGUGGCUGAACUGCUUCAGGAGAGUAGACAGAGAGUGAACAGAGACCAGAAACUGGACUACUCCUUUUGCCUAUUAGUAAUCUUCAUGAAUGGGAUUAAUGCCCUUAUAAAAGAGGCCUAAGUGAGACCCCUUGCCUCUUCCAACUGUGAGAACACAGGAAGAAGAUGCCAUUUAUAAAUCAGAAAGUGGGCACUCAUCAGACACCAAAUCUGCUGGUUCCUUGGUCUUGAAUUUCCCAGCCUCCAGAACUGUUAGAAAUAUUUUUUUUGUUGUUUAUAGGCCAGUUUAUGACAUUUUAUUGUAGCAACCUGAAUGGACUAAGACAGAAAGUUGGUACUGAGAAGUGGGGGUGUUAUAACAAAUAUCUAAAAAUGUGGAUGCAGGUUAGGAACUGGGUAAUUGGCAGAGGUUGGAAUAGUUGAAGUGAAUGCUAGAAAAAGCCUACAUUGUUAUGAAUAAAACAUAAGGAGUGAUUGUGGUGAGGGCUCAGAAGGAGAGCAGUACAGUUAUAGAGAUAGCCUCAAUCUUCUUAGAAAAUACCUAAGUGGUUAUGAAUGGAAGAAUGUUGCAGAAGUAUGAUUUGUAAAGGCCAUUCUGAUGAGCUCUCAGAUGGAAAUGAGGAACAUGUUAUUGGACACUGAAAGAGAGGACAUCCUUGUUAUAAAGUGACAAAGAACUUGGAAGAAUCAUGUUCAUGUUCUAGUAUUUUUUUGGAAAGUAGAAUCUGUGAGUGUGCAAGUGGGUAUUUGGCUGAGUAAAUAUCUAAGCAAAGUGUUGAAGGUGCAGCUUGGUCCCUCUUGACCACCUGUAUCAUUAAAAGUGAGGUGAGAGAAGUUAUUUAAAGAUGGAAUUGUUAAUCAAAACCGAAACAAACCUUAAAAUUUUAGAAAAUUCUCAGCCUGUCCAUAUUGGAAAAAAAAAUGAGAAAGCCUGUUUGGGAGAGAGCAAGGAUUUGGCCAAAUGAUAAGAGAUUACUAUGGAUUGUAUGGAUGGACCAUCUCAACUGGAGCCAGGCACUAUUCACCAAGAUGAUAGGGAGUUUAUUUAGCCAUCUAAACAGCAGCCAGGACCCAUUGUCAAAAAAAAUGGAAGAAUGACCCCCAAGACAUUUCAGGGAUCAUCUAGGCUGCUCCCACAAUCAGAGACCUAGAGUGCUAAGGCCUGGGGUGAGAAAAAUUUCAAAGAAGGAGCUGCCAUUGCCCAAUGAUAGCACAAAUCAAGGACUCUGCUAUUCUUACUCCAUUGCUUUGUUUUUUGCUGUCCCAGGUGCAGCCCUGACAAACCCUAGUAAAGUGAGCAUUGUGCCCAGCAAAGCUAUGGUGGCAUAGUUACCUCCACCUAGAUUUCAAAGGAUGCUUUGGAGAGCCACAAGGUCCAGGCAGGAAACUGCAACAGAGAUCCUCCAUCAAGGCAAUACCCAACAGAGCCUUAGAGGCAGUGCCUCCUUUGUGACCCUUGACUGGUGGAGCCACCUGUGUGGCAUGUGAAUUCCACUGUGGAGAGCCACAAGCAAUCCAACCCAUGAGACUACAAUAUGGGCUGUGUCCAGCAAAUUUAUGAAAGCAGGACCACCUAGAGCCAACCUUUGCCAGGCAAAGAUUCAGAAGCAGAAUCUCAGUCCUAGUGUGUCCAGAAGGCAGGAUCUCUGGCCCAGUAGAUCUGGAGGGCAGAACACUGAGCCAAAGAAGAUUAUUCUAAAGCCUUAAGAUUUAAUGUUGUAUGCCCUGUUAAAUUUUGGACUUGACUGGGGACCUGUCCUUCCUUUUUUCUUUCUUAUCUCCCUUUCAGAAUGGGAAUGUCCAUCUUAUGGCAGUUCCAUCAUUAUAUUUUGGAAGCACAUAAUAUGUUUGAUUUCACAGGUUAAUGAUUGGAGAGCAAUUUGCCUCAGAAUGAAUGACAGAUUGAGUCUUACUGAGACUUAAUCUCUAUAUGUACUUUGUAAAAUGCAUGCUCUGCAAGAUAUGCCUUGGAAAUUAGCAGUUAUCAGUUUUGUUGUGUCACCUAUGGUAAAAUAACAUAUACCCUGACUCAGUUUUCCAACAUAUGGUUUAGGUAAAAGUUCCAUAUUUUUUUGUUAGCAUUGUACAAACCUUGUAAAGAAAAAUGGUCAAUUGAUAUACAGUAUUAUGUACAUGUUGGGUGUAGUUUUUCAGAAAGGAGACAUUCCAAAAUCUCACAGAAUUUGGUGUGACUUUGGAGGAAUGUAAAAUAAUCAUUUGAAACUACCUUUUACAACAGUGGACCAAUAACAGAAAAGGGGAGAAACACCAACUGAAAGCCUUGUAUGGCAAACCUUUUGUUCUAUCAAAUGUGUUGCCAAAAUGGCUGCCUUACUCCAAUGCAGGAAAGUCAUCUGAAAUUGGAGUUGGACUUUCGUUGGUCAUGAAGUCUUUUCUUCACCCUUUUUUAGGCUGGGUGGACCCCUGUUGCAAAAGUUUCAGCAAAUGUAGGGAAAAGGCAAACAGAGACAAAAUUACCCCAUUCCCACAACUGUAAAUGACUUUCCACCAAUUUCUUAAUUAAUGUUAUUAACAAUAUGAGUCUACAUUAUGUUUAAAAUUAGUAGUGACUUUCCUCUAAAAAAGCAUUAAGUUUAAUGUUAAAUAAAAGAAAAGAAAAAUAACAAAUAAAACCUUGGACAUGACCUAUCACACAAGAAAAUAAGAUAAAAGUUGAACAAAUGAUAUUAAAUUAUAAUGAUUUAUGUAUUACAUGAUUACAUACUGAGAAAACCAAACUACUAGAAUUAAAAUUAGUAAAUAAACUGCCAAAAAUAAACAAAAACAAUAACUCCCUUGAAAAUGAAUAAUAAUCACUUUUAAAAUACAAUUAAAUAAAGAUAUAAAGCACAUAAACUUACCAAGAACUAUGCAAAGCAUACAUAAAAACAAAAUACUGGUGAUCAUAAAAAAUGGUAAGUAAGUAAGAAAUAUCACAUGGUCUUGGCUAGAAAUAUUUCGUUGACGAAUUUUUCCCAAUUAGCCUGUGUAUUUUGUAUAACAGCAAUCAAAAUUACAAAGGGUUUUUAAUUGAAAAAUUUAUAAAAUAUAUCCUGAAAAAUAAGUGGACAAAAAUAUCCAGCCAAAUUCUGAAAAAGAUGUGUAAUGAAGGGGACUAACCUUAUCAAAUAUGAAAGUGUCAUUUAAACUAGAUUGAUUGAAACUGUAAUGAGAAUCCAAGAAUGGACAGAUCAAUUAAAAAGAACAAAGUCUCUACAAAUUAGCAGAAGAAUUAAAUAUCUGACAAGAGUAGUUUUUGAAUCACUGAGCAAGGUUCUGGUUAUACAAAAAAAAAAAAAAAAGUGAGAGGCAAUUGGAUACAUAUUUGAGAACCAAAAUAAAGAAAACAAAUAAAGCUCUUAUGCCUUGUAUAAGCAUAAAUUCCACAUAUAUUAAUGAUGUAAUUUAAAUACUAGAAAAUAUAAUAGAUGAAUAUUUUUAUAAUUUUGAUAUUCAGAAGCCCUCUAAGCACAUGUCAAUGGUAGAAUACACAGAGUAAAAUAUUGAUAUACCUGAUUAAGUACAAAUUAAUACAUUGUGUUUGGCAAAUACACUACAAAAUAUUAGAAAAAUUAUGCUGGAAAUAUAUAUUUAUGAAACACCUAUUCUAAUAAUGUUGCUAGUUACAAAACAACAGAAAAUUACUGGUUAACAUUAGCCUAAAGGUUGUUUUGGGAGUUGCUCACAGAACCAACAGGAAGGCUUGAGAAGCAAGUUUAAUUAGAAGCAAGAUGGAACAAGUACAGCAAAGGCACUGUACCAAAAUGGCAUAUUUUCACUAAGAGUUCAUGGGGAAGCUUUGGGGCUUUUUAUUUAACACAGGUAUCUCAAAUUAUUUCUAAAAGACUCUCUGUAUUGAAUUACCUCCUCUAGAUUCAAUAUCCCCCACAGAAGCAUCUGAUUGGCCAUCCUUAGGGCAUUUGACUCCAAUGUACUUGCUAUACUAGGUUGGAGAGAGAAAAUGGCAUGUCUUAUUUGGCUUCCUGAGUGGGAGGCAGCAUGGAAUUCUCUCAUAUUAGAAAGGAUAUUUAUUUUUUCGGCAGCCUGAACAAUUAUUCUCUACUAAGAAGUUUAUAUUUCUUUUCAUUUGAAAACCUUUUGUAAAUCAAAUAAGGAAAAAAUAACCAAAUAGGGAAAAAAAGAGCAAACAGCACAAAAAUGUAAUGUAGAAGUAGAAAUACAAUGACUAAUAAGCCUAUCACAUGUCUAACUUUUCUAGUAAUCAAAUAGUGCAAAUUAUUGAAACAAUUAAAAUAAGAAAAAAAUUGAUUAGCCAAAAGUAUUAAAGUUUUGAAAUAGCCAGUGAAGUUAGUGAAGAUAAGAGGAAAUGGAUACUUUGAUACAGUGUUGGUGGAAAUAUAAGUUGAUUGAAUCAUCUCAACUAUAUUUGUACCAGUACAUUAGCUUCAUAAAAGCUGCCAUUCUUUUCUGUUUUGAUUAUUGCCAUAUUCAAAAAGACUACAAUAGUGCCUGAGAAACAUUGCAAAUUCUUAAUAAAUGCUUGUUCAGUAAAUUAAUAUCAACAUUUAAAAUCUAAUGGUCUUUUGCUAUAUAAUUCCACUCCUAAAAGUUUACCCAAAGGAUGUAAACAUGUGUCUUAGUCUGUUUUGUGCUAUUAUAACAGACUGUCACAAACUGGGUAGUUUAUAAAAAACAAAAAUUCAUUUCUCACAGUUCUGGAUGCUGGGAAGUGUAAGAUCAAGAUGGUGGCAGGUUCGACUGGUGAGAGUUGCAUUCUCCAGAUGGAAGAAACAUUGUGUCCUCAUCUGGUGGAAGGUGGAAGGUUAAACUGAGAAGCUCUUCAGAGACAAUUCUGGUAAUAUGCCAUUUCAGGCACGUCUUUGUGUUUUGCUUUUGGAUUUUUAAUGAACUAGAUUACAUCUGAAAAUACCAAUUUUCCUCUCCUGGUUUUCCUUGUUCUUUUUAUAUCUCAGCCCACAUGUAUCUUGCUGCUUCACUGAUAAAGGGGAAAAGGGCCCAAAAUGAUGAUUUCAGCAUGUUUAAACUGUGAAUGUGGGUAGACUCUGAUUUAUAAUUGGAUAAAAUUGGUAAAAAUAAGUUAAUUGAUUACUGAAUUAGUUUAGAAUGUUAACUCAACUUCACAUUGUUUGCUUUUGUACAAUGAGGGCAAGAAGAAAAAGAAAAACACAUGGUUGGUGAAAAUCCUUAAAGAGUUUAUUUUCCCUAUUGGCAUUUGAGGAUUUUGCAAGAGUAGUAGCUUUAUUAUUCUCUUUCUCAAGUUUCCAACUUGUAAUAGAAUGUGUGUUAACCUGUCAAAAUGUGUGAUGCUAUCAUUUAGUUGUAAUUAGUUAACGAUUAUGUCAUUUCUUUUGGCAAGGCAUCCCUUAGCUGAUGAAACAGUCUUCUAGUCACUUACAAAAUACAUAUAUAAACAAUAGGGAAAGCAGCAUUUGGAAGGCACAUGAUGAUUCUUUAUUUUCCAUCACAUUAGCACAUUAAUGUGUGGUGAGUUUAAAGAAGUGGCAUGAAUAAGUUACCACUCUGUACUGUUGGCAAUAUUGACGUUUAUGGGCAAUUUAAUUUUAAGUCUACAAUAUGUGAUUUAAUACAGUGCUGCUUUUCCAAAGACAGAGUAUGAAGGUAAUCUUUGUUCAAUAAAACACCAAAAGAAAAUCAAUUAUUUCAUCCUGCUGGUGAUGGUUAAGGUUAGUAGAAAUAGUACUACCAGUUGCUUUACUUUCACCAAGUAAUUAUUUUUGAAGUAAUAGGUAGUAAUUAAUUAGUGCAGCUAAUUCUUACUGAAAAAUCUUGUGUAGCUGAGUGAAAGAGGAGCAUUUCAACUUAAUGAUAAAGUUAUUAGGAUAUUUUUCCUUGUGAAAAAAAGGCCUUAAGGUUAAGAAGUUGGUAACAUGAUUAAAUUUAUUUUACUUUUGUUUUUGGAAUUUGGGAACAGAAAGAGCGGCUUUUUUUUUUUUUUUGCAUGUAUCAGAUGAUAAUGCGUAUCUGAAAAAGCCAAGGCAGGUAACAGAGCACGUGACGACUUAUUGUGGGGAGUCUGUGUACUCCAAGUGCGGCAAUUCUCAUGCCAUCUGCCCCAGACUACAUAAGCUUCCAGAAAGCCUGAGGUUUCCAGGAUAAUAUGUGGUCAGUUUUUUUUUUUUUUUUAAGUUAAUACCUGUGUGAAUCUGUUGUGGUAACAAAGCAUAUAUGUAAUGAAGGCAAGUUUUAUGUUACCUCAGCAGGAUUGGACUGUGAAAUGAUACAAUAUUCAGAACUUGAAUAGCCAUGCACUAUCUGAAGCAGAUGCACACAAGCCUGCAGUCUCAGAGGGAUGCCCUGGGAAAUACUGAGAAGACAGUAUUUUAUUGUUCCCGAUCUUUAUUUAUCUACCAGCAGAUGUCCCUAUAAGGCAAUAAUAUCUUAUAGCUAGGCCAGCUGAUUAUGAAAAAUCAGAAACGGAACCACUCAUCAUAUUUCCAAAGAUUAAUGGGAUUAAAUCCACCAUGUACUUCAAAAUGUUUCCACAGAGACAUAAAGUGCAGUGCAGUGCAAAAGUAAAUUUAGUUUACUUCUGAAAACCACAUGGAGCAAUUUUUUUUUUAAAAAGAAAUUCUAGGAGUUCUCAAUCUUUAUCAGCACUAAAACCACUUUCUAAAAUAAAAUAAAAUCAUUGAUUAUCUCUGUGCUUUCAGGUAUAUAAGUAUUCAUUUAGUUAAAAAAUAAAGUGUAAAAAAUGACUCUGAAUUCGGUAAAAUAUUUCUUAACUGGGAAUAUUCUCUAUAUACAUUCUAAAGACUAGAUGCAAAUUAAUGUUUCCAUGAGACACAUUAUUCAACUUGCAAACAAUUCAAAAUGCACAUAUAGAUUUAGGUACUCUGGCAAUACCUCUGUAACUUCCCAGGGGUCUGUAUAUAAAAGUUGUAAACCAAAAGCAUCCUCUAUUCUACCGUUUUAUUCAGUGAUAUGCCGCUUCUUGAUGGAUGAAAAACAGUGUCAAGAAAACUUGUUGUAAAUAAUAAAUACUGUCUUACAAAGUAAUUUCUUCAUUGAAAAAACAUACUAAAAUACAAAGUCAUUAUCAGUACUCAUUAGCAUUUCUAUUUUGAGAAUUAAGUAGGUUCAUUUGUUUGUCUCCAUUUUUGAGAGGCAAUUGCUAUAGAGGCCAGAAAACUAAACUAGAUGCAAUAAAAAUUACGGAUUUUAAAACUAUACAAACAAAAAUUUCUAACUAUCUUUGCCACUUUCUGGCAGUGUGUUAGGGCAGGUUAUUCAACAUCUGGCUUAUGUGUCUUCAUUUGAGAAUAACAGUAGAAAUCUCAUGGAAUUAAUGCAACAUUAAAUAAAAUAAUUUAUGAACAUACUGGCACGUUAUAGGGAUUCUAAAAAUAUCUGUCCAUUUACUUUGCAUUUCUCAGUCAGUUCUUUUACAUUUUAUGAUCUCUGUGAAUAUAAUUGACUUCUUUUUUUGGGAGAAGUUGCAAUUAAUUCCUGUUAUGGGAAUUAGAAAAUAGGUCAUGAUCAUGGAAGAGGCAAAAUUGGUGCUGGACCUAGAAGCAUUUUUUCAGGCAAAAAAACUUUUUCAAAAAAAUGUUCAAAUAGUAGAGAUACUUUACAAAACAAGAGUUAGACUAAGCAAUGAAUAUUCUAUUGCUGAGCUUCUCAAUCUCCACGGAAUUCAUAUACCCUAGGCUUCUUCUCUAGUGCUCAGCCAAUAUUGCAAGUCCUAGAUCUACGUAGUGUAUGUUCAUGGACAAUCUGUUUCCCUCAAUGGCAAGUAAUUUAAAAAUAAUAUCUUUAUAUCAAAUGGAGUAGAAAACCAACUUCAUGUGUAUUUUUACACGAAAACAGAAGUUUUAAAAGCCCUGUUGACAUUGAAAGAACUCAGAACAUGCCACUCCAAAACGUGCCACUCUGGCAUAUUGAUUAUUUUGAAUUAAAAGAAUUUGAAAAACAGUAGAUGCAAAAGGGCACUCUGAUCUUCCUUCUUUUCUUCCCGAAAGAAGGAAAUAAAACUUCCAUGUGAAAGAUGUCUUCCCUGCACUUGGAGAAACUAAGACAUGUUCAUCUCCAGAGAUGGGGAGUGGAGACCAAGAAAAAUGUAUACAAACAAACCUUGUUAAAUUAACCUUUAUCUUUCUAGUUACUAGUUACUUUUUCACUAUUAACUGUCUUAGCCCAAACUCCUUUCUCUUGUUACAUUUUGUAAUUUACUACUCUUUGUUCAACCCUGUAUGUAAGUGUUUGGCUCUGUUUCUUUCAGUCUUUAAUAUAUCCUUAGAACGCACAUGUACAUGUAAAAUUUUACUGAAUAAAAUGUGUAUGCUUUCUCCUCUUCAUUUGUUGAUAUCAGUUUAAUUUUUAGGCCCAGCCAGAAACCCUAACAAGGUAGAGGAGAAAUUUUUCCUCCCCUGCACCAUACACUCACUGUCUCUACAAGUAUGGGCACUUUGGUAGAGAUGUUUUAGAAACACACAUCACAGAGUCACAUGAGAGGGAGCCUUUGGAUGAGCACCUUUACUGGAAUAUUAGAAACUAUGGGGUUGUAGUUGAGGAAACACCUGGAGGAGGUGAGUGUCAACCCUAAACAUCUCUAAAGAAGACAAGGUCAGGUAGGAGAAUCUGGAAGUGGGAGUGUGCCUGGCACAGGCUUCCUGGUAGUAAAACAGAGGGAUUUCUGAAGCUGAGUGUGAUGUGAAUCAGAGAACAAACUGCUGAAUAAUAUCUCUUCCUUUAAUAAAAUAAUGAAUUUCUUGGAUGUGCUUCUUGAAGUGUAUCCCAUUAUGCUUUGCGGACUUAACAUUAGGGAACAGUUCCUUAGAAACAGUUCUGGAAUCACCCAAAUAAUGCUGUUCAGGGACAAUGAUUUCUAAUUGACCAUUUUCAUAUAAGAUAUAAUUUAGCUUACUUGGAAAAGCAGUGACUCACCUUGUUUCAGGGAAUCCGUGUACCUAGACUGAUAUGUGCUAUGACUUGAAAGUCCCUUCCAAAACUAAUGUUGAAAUGUAAUUGCCAUUGCGAUAUUGAGAGAUGGGACUGUUAAGAGGUGGUUAGGCCAGAAGGACUCUGCCCUUAUGAAUGGAUUAAUGUCAUUAUCACAGGAGUAGGUUUGUUAUUGUGAGAAUGGGUUGUUAUAAAAGUGAAUUUGGCCUUCUCUAUCUCUUGCUCUUGCCUCUCUUGCCCUUCUGACUUAAGUCAUGCGAUGACACAGCAUGAAGGCUCUCAAGAGAUGCCAGCACCCUGCUCUUGGACUUUCCAGCCUCUAGAGCUGUGAACAAAAUAAACUCUAUUGUUUAUAAAUUAUGCAGUCUUUGGUAUUCUUUUACAGCAACACAAAACAGACUACAGCAGUAUGUGUUAUGCAAUUGUGUGAAUCUUUCUGGAGAAAUGUUCCUAGUUUUAAGCAGAUUCUCAA